GAUGAACGCUGGCGGCGUGCCUAAUACAUGCAAGUCGAGCGAACGGACGAGAAGCUUGCUUCUCUGAUGUUAGCGGCGGACGGGUGAGUAACACGUGGAUAACCUACCUAUAAGACUGGGAUAACUUCGGGAAACCGUAGCUAAUACCGGAUAAUAUUUUGAACCGCAUGGUUCAAAAGUGAAAGACGGUCUUUCUGUCACUUAUAGAUGGAUCCGCGCUGCAUUAGCUAGUUGGUAAGGUAACGGCUUACCAAGGCAACGAUGCAUAGCCGACCUGAGAGGGUGAUCGGCCACACUGGAACUGAGACACGGUCCAGACUCCUACGGGAGGCAGCAGUAGGGAAUCCUCCGCAAUGGGCGAAAGCCUGACGGAGCAACGCCGCGUGAGUGAUGAAGGUCUUCGGAUCGUAAAACUCUGUUAUUAGGGAAGAACAUAUGUGUAAGUAACUGUGCUCAUCUUGACGGUACCUAAUCAGAAAGCCACGGCUAACUACGUG
rnacentral:rRNA from 1 species